rnacentral:miRNA from 15 species
UGAGUAUUCCUUAUUGCAUAGU